UACGUAGGCAGCGAGCGUUGUUCGGAGUUACUGGGCUUAAAGCGCGUGUAGGCGGGACGGCACGUCGGUCGCUGAAAUCCCCCGGCUUAACCGGGGAACGGGCGUCGAUACGACCGUCCUGGAGGGGCGUAGGGGGACCUGGAACUUCCGGUGGAGCGGUGAAAUGCGUUGAGAUCGGAAGGAACGCCCGUGGCGAAAGCGAGGUCCUGGACGCCUACUGACGCUGAGACGCGAAAGCCAGGGGAGCGAACGGG
rnacentral:rRNA from 1 species